rnacentral:tRNA from 1 species
GCGUAGGUCGUCUAGCCUGGUCCAGGAUUGAGGCCUGUGGAGCCUUCGACCCGAGUUCAAAUCUCGGCCUACGCC